rnacentral:rRNA from 1 species
GACGGAGGGUGCAAACGUUGUUCGGAAUCACUGGGCAUAAAGAGCACGUAGGCUGCGCGCUAAGUCAGGUGUGAAAUCCCCCGGCUUAACCGGGGAACUGGCGUAGAUACGACCGUCCUGGAGGGGCGUAGGGGGACCUGGAACUUCCGGUGGAGCGGUGAAAUGUGUAGAGAUCGGGAGGAACACCGGUGGCGAAGGCGGGUCUCUGGGCAUCUCCUGACGCUGAGGCGCGAAAGCGUGGGGAGCAAACGGG